rnacentral:tRNA from 1 species
GCGAUGGUAGUUCAACGGUAGAACGUCUGCUUCCCAAGCAGAAAGCUGCGGGUUCAAUUCCCGUCCAUCGCU